rnacentral:rRNA from 1 species
GAUGAACGCUGGCGGCGUGCCUAAUACAUGCAAGUCGAGCGAACAGACGAGGAGCUUGCUCCUCUGACGUUAGCGGCGGACGGGUGAGUAACACGUGGAUAACCUACCUAUAAGACUGGGAUAACUUCGGGAAACCGGAGCUAAUACCGGAUAACAUGUUGAACCGCAUGGUUCAACAGUGAAAGACGGUUUUGCUGUCACUUAUAGAUGGAUCCGCGUCGCAUUAGCUAGUUGGUAAGGUAACGGCUUACCAAGGCAACGAUGCGUAGCCGACCUGAGAGGGUGAUCGGCCACACUGGAACUGAGACACGGUCCAGACUCCUACGGGAGGCAGCAGUAGGGAAUCUUCCGCAAUGGGCGAAAGCCUGACGGAGCAACGCCGCGUGAGUGAUGAAGGUCUUCGGAUCGUAAAACUCUGUUAUUAGGGAAGAACAAAUGUGUAAGUAACUAUGCACGUCUUGACGGUACCUAAUCAGAAAGCCACGGCUAACUACGUG